GGAGUUAGCCGGUGCUUCUUCUGUGAGUGAUGUCCUUCCUGCCGGUUAUUGACCCGCAGGCCUUCUUCCUCACUGAAAGUGCUUUACAACCCGAAGGCCUUCUUCACACACGCGGCAUGGCUGGAUCAGGGUUGCCCCCAUUGUCCAAUAUUCCCCACUGCUGCCUCCCGUAGGAGUCUGGGCCGUGUCUCAGUCCCAGUGUGGCUGAUCAUCCUCUCAGACCAGCUACGGAUCGUCGCCUUGGUGAGCCGUUACCUCACCAACCAGCUAAUCCGACAUAGGCUCAUCCGAUAGCGCGAGGCCCGAAGGUCCCCCGCUUUCCCCCGUAGGGCGUAUGCGGUAUUAGCCUGGGUUUCCCCAGGUUAUCCCCCGACUACCCGGGGCAGGAUUCCCUAUGCAUUACUCACCCGUCCGCCGCUCGCCACCAGGGAGCAAGCUCCCCGUGCUGCCGCUCGACUUGCAUGUGUUAGGCCUGCCGCCAGCGUUCAAUCUGAGCCAGNGCUACAACUCUACGACUGACGGCGGGCGCGGACGACGGCGCUAAG
rnacentral:rRNA from 1 species